GAUUCUUUACUUUCUACUAAAGGAUUAUUAAAGGCUGGUCACUUAGUGGCUGUGUCCUGUCAGUGAUGUCAUAAAUGAAUUCAGACAUGGAACUGUUGGACCUUACUUCCAAAGGAGGCCCUGUCUGUCUGAAGAACUGGAAAUCAAGACCCUCCUUUUGGCAGCCAGAAGCCUCCACGGCCUCAUUCUAAGAAGGAAAAGUGGAGGAUCCACCCUUUACUUUCCUUAUGCUCAUCCUUUGAGGGUAUUGUGAAGGUGGACUACUUUCCAGCCCCAGACACAAGGCUCAGUGCUUACUGAUCUUCACUGUGGAAGGGUCCCUGCCACCGCUGCAGAGUGCCAAGGGGAGUGUUCACACCGAGCUGUGUGUGUGACUUUCUCCCAGAGUCGACCCCUGAACUUAGUUAGAUGGCACAGCCCUCGGUGCAGGAUCCCCUUCCAAACCCACGGGGGCCCUAUGGAACUGCGGGGGCAGUGGACUAGCCUGCAGCGCCCAGCCUCCCCGGAGUCACCAUAGAGAGCUCUGGCUUUCUACCCACUUCUAACAAGCUCAUUAGUGAGAAGUUCCCAGAAACUGGAAGAGUUCGCUCGCACUUUCUGAUCUGAGUGCACAGAACAUUCUGUCAGGCUCCAGGAGACAGACAAUUUAAACCAGAACACCAUUAAACACAGAGCAGCUGAUACUACUAUAAUUCCUUCCCAGCCCCAGCCUUCGCCACCCGAAGUCGCCAGGGCUAGGGCAGGGUGUGGGGUGGUGGUUAUCCCCUGCAGAGGCCAGCACUGACAUUC